ensembl:lncRNA
GUUUGCCAGUGGCAUAGAGCUCACAAAGGGAUUGGUCAUCAGAACUCCAGCCCACACUCCCUAGUGGUAGAACCCCAAACUGAGAGGAGUCUACCAUAGCUGACCUCUGAGAGGCUCCACUCAGCAGCUGACUCAAACGAAUGGAGAGACCUACAGCCAAACUGAGUGGAGCUCAGGAGUCUAGCUGGCAGCCCAAAGAUGUGACUGAGAACUGGCCGUGUAAGAACAGCAGAGCUUCCUGGGGGAAACAGGCCUCUUUUUUUCCUGAGGGGGGGAAAAAAGAUAUGCUAGAGCUCCAAUGUUCUGGCAAAUUCAAGGAAACCAGCUAUCAGUUGUUUGGGGGAAAACAACAACAGC